rnacentral:rRNA from 1 species
CGGGACCCGCACAAGCGGUGGAUGAUGUGAUUAAUUCGAUGCAACGCGAAAACCUUACCUACCCUUGACAUGUCUGGAACCUUGGUGAGAGCCGAGGGUGCCUUCGGGAGCCAGAACACAGGUGCUGCAUGGCUGUCGUCAGCUCGUGUCGUGAGAUGUUGGGUUAAGUCCCGCAACGAGCGCAACCCUUGUCACUAGUUGCCAUCAUUUGGUUGGGCACUCUAGUGAGACUGCCGGUGACAAACCGGAGGAAGGUGGGGAUGACGUCAAGUCCUCAUGGCCCUUAUGGGUAGGGCUUCACACGUCAUACAAUGGUCGGUACAGAGGGUUGCCAAGCCGCGAGGUGGAGCCAAUCCCACAAAGCCGGUCGUAGCCCGGAUCGCAGUCUGCAACUCGACUGCGUGAAGUCGGAAUCGCUAGUAAUCGCGGAUCAGCAUGUCGCGGUGAAUACGUUCCCGGGUCUU